UACGUAGGCAGCAAGCGUUGUUCGGAAUUACUGGGCGUAAAGGGCGCGUAGGCGGGGUGUCACGUCCGCUGUGAAAGCCUGGAGCUUAACUCCAGCGGGUCGGUGGAUACGGACACUCUUGAAGGCAUUAGGGGAAGAUGGAAUUACCCAUGGAGCGGUGAAAUGCGUAGAGAUGGGUAGGAACACCGGUGGCGAAGGCGGUCUUCUGGGAUGUCCUUGACGCUGAGGCGCGAAAGCUGGGGGAGCGAACGGG
rnacentral:rRNA from 1 species